rnacentral:misc_RNA from 1 species
AACGCACAUUGCGCCCCCUGGCAUUCCGGGGGGCAUGCCUGUCCGAGCGUCAUUUCUGCCCUCAAGCGCGGCUUGUGUGUUGGGCGUGGUCCCCCCGGGGACCUGCCCGAAAGGCAGCGGCGACGUCCGUCGGGUCCUCGAGCGUAUGGGGCUUUGUCACUCGCUCGGGAGGGACCUGCGGGGGUUGGUCACCACUGAAAUUGUUUCCAUGGUUGACCUCGGAUCAGGUAGGAGUUACCCGCUGAACUUAA